rnacentral:rRNA from 1 species
UACGUAGGGACCGAGCGUUGUCCGGAUUCAUUGGGCGUAAAGAGCUCGUAGGCGGCCACUCAAGUCGAAUGUGAAACCUCGAGGCUUAACCUCGAGCCUGCAUUCGAUACUGGGCGGCUAGAGUCUGGCAGGGGGAUCUGGAAUUCCUGGUGUAGCGGUGGAAUGCGCAGAUAUCAGGAGGAACACCGAUGGCGAAGGCAGGUCUCUGGGACGGUACUGACGCUGAGACGCGAAAGCGUGGGGAGCGAACAGG